rnacentral:lncRNA from 1 species
GCAGAGGCUAGAGCAGCACCAGGGCCGUUGACCACCAUUAGCAGCACUAGAAAUCUAGAAUGAUAAGAAAGAUUUGUGCUGUGGAUAAACCGAAAAAAGGGAGAGCUGGAGAAUUCUGUCAAGGGUCAGGAGAGAGAGGAUAAGGUUUUGAAUUAUUUCUACCAACCAAAUUUUACCUAUAAGUAACAUGGUGAUUUGAGGUCCAAAACUACAAGUGAGUAGUCAAACGGAAUGUAUUUGAGGUGCUUUACGCAGCCAUGGUUUCCGACCGUCCAUUUGAGCAGCUAAUCAAAAGGUCAAUAUUUUGC